rnacentral:misc_RNA from 1 species
GAUGAAGAACGUAGCGAACUGCGAUAAGUAAUGUGAAUUGCAGAAUUCAGUGAAUCAUCGAGUCUUUGAACGCACAUUGCGCCCCCUGGCAUUCCGGGGGGCAUGCCUGUCCGAGCGUCAUUGCUGCCCUUCAAGCCCGGCUUGUGUGUUGGGUCGUCGUCCCCCCCGGGGGACGGGCCCGAAAGGCAGCGGCGGCACCGCGUCCGGUCCUCGAGCGUAUGGGGCUUUGUCACCCGCUCGAUUAGGGCCGGCCGGGCGCCAGCCGGCGUCUCCAACCUUCUAUUUUACCAGGUUGACCUCGGAUCAGGUAGGGAUACCCGCUGAACUUAAGCAUAUCAAUAAGCGGAGGGA